rnacentral:misc_RNA from 1 species
UCGUAACAAGGUUUCCGUAGGUGAACCUGCGGAAGGAUCAUUACUGAGUGAGGGCCCUCUGGGUCCAACCUCCCACCCGUGUUUAUUGUACCUUGUUGCUUCGGCGGGCCCGCCUUUACGGCCGCCGGGGGGCUCACGCUCCCGGGCCCGCGCCCGCCGAAGACACCCUCGAACUCUGUCUGAAGAUUGUAGUCUGAGUGGAAUUAUAAAUUAUUUAAAACUUUCAACAACGGAUCUCUUGGUUCCGGCAUCGAUGAAGAACGCAGCGAAAUGCGAUACGUAAUGUGAAUUGCAGAAUUCAGUGAAUCAUCGAGUCUUUGAACGCACAUUGCGCCCCCUGGUAUUCCGGGGGGCAUGCCUGUCCGAGCGUCAUUGCUGCCCUCAAGCACGGCUUGUGUGUUGGGCCCCGUCCCCCAAUCCCGGGGGACGGGCCCGAAAGGCAGCGGCGGCACCGCGUCCGGUCCUCGAGCGUAUGGGGCUUUGUCACCCGCUCUGUAGGCCCGGCCGGCGCUUGCCGAUCAACCAAACUUUUAUCCAGGUUGACCUCGGAUCAGGUAGGGAUACCCGCUGAACUUAAGCAUAUCAAUAA